rnacentral:lncRNA from 1 species
GAUGAGCUUAAUUGUAUGUGAUGAAAAGGGUUCAAGUUUGGGGUGUACAGGAAAAAAAUUGAAAAAGCAAGUGAAAGACAUUGAGCUCAAUUGUUGUGAAAAGAGAAAAAUGCUUGAGAAAAAGAAAAGAAAAGAAGAAAGACAUGAAGAUGAGCUCAAUGAAAAAGAAAAGAAAAAGGGAAAAAGUUGGGAAUGAGAAACAUUGGUGGGAGAGUUGUGUUUAAAUGUUGAAUAUUUUGUUAGCUUUCCUCACUCAAGGAUUUUGCAUUCUAGAAAAACCAAUUUUUCUUGUUAGCCCGACCUCAUUGCAAGCCUUGGAAAAGUCUUUUUGAUGACAUUUGCAUGUAAAGAUGUUGAUUGUUUGAGAUGAAUGGCAAUUUUGUUUCAUGUGACUUGUGAACAAUAGAGAGUUGGA